rnacentral:rRNA from 1 species
UACGGAGGGUGCAAGCGUUAUUCGGAAUUACUGGGCGUAAAGCGCGUGUAGGCGGGAAAACAAGUCUGAUGUGAAAGCCCCGGGCUUAACCUGGGAAGUGCAUUGGAAACUGUUUUUCUUGAGUACUGGAGAGGAAGGGAGAAUUCCCGGUGUAGAGGUGAAAUUCGUAGAGAUCGGGAGGAACACCAGUGGCGAAGGCGCCCUUCUGGACGGUUACUGACGCUGAGACGCGAAAGCGUGGGGAGCAAACAGGAUUAGAUACCCUGGUAGUCCACGCUGUAAACGAUGAUCACUGGGUGUAGUGGGUAAUCAUUCCUGCUGUGCCGUAGCUAACGCGUUAAGUGAUCCGCCUGGGGAUUACGGUCGCAAGACUAAA